GAAAGAGAGAGAGAGCAGCUAAAAGAUGGAGAUGGAGGGCGAGUUGAAGAACUUCCUCAAGGUCUGGGUUUUAGCUACUACAUGCUUAUGCUACUGUUACUAUAUAGCAGCAAGAUUACCUAAGGGUAUCUUGAGGCUCCUUUCCAUCCUCCCUAUCAUCUACAUCUUCAUCAUUCUCCCCUUCAACCUCAACUCUUUCAAUCUCUGUGGUCCUACAGCUUUCUUUCUCGUUUGGCUUGCCAACUUCAAGCUCCUCCUCUUCUCCUUGGAUCAAGGUCCCUUAUCACCCCCACCUCCCAAACUUUUCCAUUUCAUCUCCUUAGCCUGUCUUCCCAUAAAACUCAAACAAGAAACAAAUAAUAACACUAACCCAUCAAUCCAUUACAUGCCCAGAUUACUUCUUCUGGCGAUUAAAACCUUCAUUCUUGUUCUUGUAAUUCAUAUCUAUAACUACAGGCAAUUCAUUCACCCCCAUCUCAUCUUAGCUAUCUAUUGCUUGCACAUGUACUUACAGCUAGAACUCGUCCUAGCCAUAUCAGCAACCCCCGCUCGAGCUCUUUUUGGGUUCGAGCUCGAGCCACAGUUCAACGAGCCUUACCUUGCCACAUCUCUGCAAGACUUUUGGGGUCGUAGAUGGAACCUCAUGGUCACCAGUAUUCUUCGGCCCACCGUAUACUAUCCUACACGCCAGUUUUCAAAGCGCUUAUUUGGGCCGGCAUGGUCUUCGCUGCCAGCUGUCAUAGCGACGUUUGUAGUGUCGGGUUGGAUGCACGAGGUCAUUUACUUUUAUAUAACGCGUGUGAGUCCCACGUGGGAAGUCACGUGGUUUUUCGUCCUGCAUGGUAUUUGUGUAGCUAUAGAGGUGGCGUUAAAGAAGGCUGUUAAGGACAGGUGGCCGUUGCACCGGGCAAUUUCAGGGCCCUUGGUUGUCGUUUUUGCAGGUGUCACCGCCGUUUGGUUAUUUUUCCCUCAGCUAAUUAGAAAUAGAGUGGAUGAGCAGGUUAUAUGGGAGUGCUCCAUUCUGGUAAAUGUCAUCAAGCUUAAAUUAAGCUCUUUUUUUGUUUAUUGCUUGAGUGUGUUUUAAAUGUCCUUAUUGCCCCUUAGGCUUUACCUUUUUGAUCGAUGCUAAAGGGAUAAAAUCCUAAUCAAAUGAGGGCAUAAUUGAAAUUUUAUUUAUUGCUUCAAAAUAGGUGAAUUUACAAUUAUAACCUUAAUGAAAUUGGUUUCUUG
rnacentral:misc_RNA from 1 species